rnacentral:tRNA from 1 species
AUUAGUUUAAGUAAAAUAAAAACUUUGUAAGUUUAAGAUCUAAAAUG